CCGGAAUUGCUGCCUUUCGGCCAAGGACUAGUGCUGAAGCUGGGCCGCGCCGCGUUGGCCUGACCUGGAUGUUCGCUGCCUUUCCUCUGGCCUGGAGGGGAUUGAUUCUUCCAGGAGAUCUGGUGGGGAAAUGGAUCUGACUUACCGUGUGACCUUCCUGACAAACUUUACUUUCCUGUCAAUUUCUCACUUUGUUCAAAAAAGCAAAAACAAGGGGAAUAAAUGGUUUUAGGGGUCUUUGGUUUUUCAAUAGAACCUUUCACUUAAUCAUGUGAUGUUUUUCUUUAGGGGAGAGGGGUUGGGAAAGAAGCUUGUAGCAAAACUUCCAACCUGUGCCAGUGUGGGGCUUCUCCCAUAGCUUCUGAGCUGGAGGUUUUGGAGCUUGAUUAAACAUUCUUCCCAGCUGCUUUGCCAGCCUUGCUAAGAACACUAGCCCCCUGGUUCUCUAGCAAGUGUCAGGGAAGCCAUGUUCUGAGCCACCAAACUCGAGAGCAGAUAUACUCUGCAACUUGGAAGCAGCAAGUAGCUCUUAAAUUUGUCUUUUGCAGCACUUGUUAAAACAGUGUUUAACCACUCAGAAUGCUUUUCCUGUAUGAAUUUGGACAAAGCUGCUGAUGUGAACAAACUAAAGAUUUCCCACAUCAAUUUAAAUAUGAAGCUGGACUAAAUGAACAAUUAUUUCACAUGCCUGUGGCAUUUUGGG